rnacentral:rRNA from 1 species
AGAGUUUGAUCCUGGCUCAGGAUGAACGCUGGCGGCGUGCCUAAUACAAGCAAGUCGAGCGAACGGACGAGAAGCUUGCUUCUCUGAUGUUAGCGGCGGACGGGUGAGUAACACGUGGAUAACCUACCUAUAAGACUGGGAUAACUUCGGGAAACCGGAGCUAAUACCGGAUAAUAUUUUGAACCGCAUGGUUCAAAAGUGAAAGACGGUCUUGCUGUCACUUAUAGAUGGAUCCGCGCUGCAUUAGCUAGUUGGUAAGGUAACGGCUUACCAAGGCAACGAUGCAUAGCCGACCUGAGAGGGUGAUCGGCCACACUGGAACUGAGACACGGUCCAGACUCCUACGGGAGGCAGCAGUAGGGAAUCUUCCGCAAUGGGCGAAAGCCUGACGGAGCAACGCCGCGUGAGUGAUGAAGGUCUUCGGAUCGUAAAACUCUGUUAUUAGGGAAGAACAUAUGUGUAAGUAACUGUGCACAUCUUGACGGUACCUAAUCAGAAAGCCACGGCUAACUACGUGCCAGCAGCCGCGGUAAUACGUAGGUGGCAAGCGUUAUCCGGAAUUAUUGGGCGUAAAGCGCGCGUAGGCGGUUUUUUAAGUCUGAUGUGAAAGCCCACGGUUCAACCGUGGAGGGUCAUUGGAAACUGGAAAACUUGAGUGCAGAAGAGGAAAGUGGAAUUUCAUGUGUAGCGGUGAAAUGCGCAGAGAUAUGGAGGAACACCAGUGGCGAAGGCGACUUUCUGGUCUGUAACUGACGCUGAUGUGCGAAAGGCGUGGGGAUCAAACAGGAUUAGAUACCCUGGUAGUCCACGCCGUAAACGAUGAGUGCUAAGUGUUAGGGGGUUUCCGCCCCUUAGUGCUGCAGCUAACGCAUUAAGCACUCCGCCUGGGGAGUACGACCGCAAGGUUGAAACUCAAAGGAAUUGACGGGGACCCGCACAAGCGGUGGAGCAUGUGGUUUAAUUCGAAGCAACGCGAAGAACCUUACCAAAUCUUGACAUCCUUUGACAACUCUAGAGAUAGAGCUUUCCCCUUCGGGGGACAAAGUGACAGGUGGUGCAUGGUUGUCGUCAGCUCGUGUCGUGAGAUGUUGGGUUAAGUCCCGCAACGAGCGCAACCCUUAAGCUUAGUUGCCAUCAUUAAGUUGGGCACUCUAAGUUGACUGCCGGUGACAAACCGGAGGAAGGUGGGGAUGACGUCAAAUCAUCAUGCCCCUUAUGAUUUGGGCUACACACGUGCUACAAUGGACAAUACAAAGGGCAGCGAAACCGCGAGGUCAAGCAAAUCCCAUAAAGUUGUUCUCAGUUCGGAUUGUAGUCUGCAACUCGACUACAUGAAGCUGGAAUCGCUAGUAAUCGUAGAUCAGCAUGCUACGGUGAAUACGUUCCCGGGUCUUGUACACACCGCCCGUCACACCACGAG